AUCACAAUGGAAGAAUUAGAAUUCUCACCUCAAGGUCACAUCUCCGCAUAUGGGCCGGUCGAUUACAAACUUCCGGGAGUUAGGAACAUACCCCGUCGGAUGAAGGUUUCCAUACUCAAGGAGUGUUCAAACAAGGGCACUGUUUAUUCCUCCAAGGGUGUGGGCGAACCUCCACAUCUGCUGGCAAUAUCAGUUUAUUUGGCACUGAGAAAAGCAAUCCAAGCGUGUCGGAUGGAUGCAGGACUAUCCAGCAGCUUUGACCUGGACAUUCCAUUAGCCGCUGAGAGCAUCCGAAUGGCCUGUCCGAUUGGAAUUCCUACAUUACAAAUCCAGCAUAAUGGAGCUAUAUAGUCUUUGCGAGAAAAGUUGGACACACUUGUAUUAUGAUAUUAUACCCCAAUUCAUUCAGGUUAAAUAUAAAGUCAUUAUAUUGUCAGACUCUUGUUAAAGGAUUCUUCGCGAAAUGCACCUUAAUAUAAAUAUCUACAGUAUAUAUAUUUGUAACAAUAUAAUACAUACUCGCACUAUAAUACACCGGUGUACAAUGUAUAUUAUGAUGCCAGAACAUUCUGGUAUGUUUCAAAAAACAAUUGUGUUUAAUGAGGCUAUCUUAUGCGACUCGCACUAUUGAUUAAACUAGCUUGUGAUGACGCUUAUGUUUCGAAUUAGAUUCAAAUUGUUCAAGAAUACUUGUCAAAUUAAACUUUAAAUUUACGCCUUGUUACCUAUUUAGUAAAAUGAAGUUUCCAAUGUCUAAUGGCUAAUGUCCUAGAGUUGUAUUCUGCCCUAGAGAUGUAUAAUGUCCCAGAGUUACCUAAUGCCCCAAAGUUGUCUAAUGUCCCAGAAAUGUCCCAUGGCUCAGAUUUGUCAAAUACCCCAGAGUUUCCUAUUUAUCCUAGAGUUAUCUAAUAUCCAAGUGAUAGCUAAUGUCCCAGUGUUGUCUUAUGCCCUAGAGUUGUCUAAUGCCCUAGAUUUGUUGUCUAAUGCCCCAGAUUUGUCUAAUGACCACGAGUAGUAAUAUAUUCCUACUCUUUACAAACAAUCCAAAAAUAACAUUACCACGAAUGUUCGAGUUACAUAUCCCAGCGAUUGUAUCACAUAAUAGGAACGUUUUAUAAACUGUCUGUUACCACGUCAAUAAUUAGAUCUAACAUGUGAACACGUAGAUAUAGUUCUAAAUCUAGUUUUAAGAAUAGGUCUGUUCAACACAUUCCAACACACUUCUUAGCAUAUCGGGUAUUUUUAUAUUAACUUGUCCUUAUUGAUUUUCGAGAAUUUGCUGUAAAUUAGAUAAAUGAGAAGUGUCAUUUUAAUUGUGGCGGUGAACGAUUCUAUUUAUCGCCAAAGGAUUGAGGUCGUUCAACUAGCUCACCUGCGCAUGUAACAUCAUUCAAUAGAAAUAAAAUCAUCUCACCCAGUAACGCUAACUGCUCGCGCCCUUACUUGUCUUACCUGUGGGACUCGGUCUUUACAACAACGAUGGCAGCUGGCAGUUAGUAGAUAAGUCCAGUUCAAUGCAUUUCGUUUUUUGAUACCUUUGGCCUAACGACAAUUUAGUUAACUACAAACAUGAUAAAAACAUACAACAUUGCGUAUGAAGUAUACACAGGAUCAGAUACGUAUAUUUAGCAUUGUUCAAUAUUUUAGCAUUUAAGUCUUUAUUAUCGUUAUCAUCAUCACCAUCAGCACCCUUAUUCAGUAUACGGACGUUAUGUUUAUUUUAUGUAGUAAUAAUAUCUGACGGUCAUAUCGUUGAUUAAUAUUCACUAAAAUGACACGUUACAGAAAAAAUAUUAAUGAAUGGAAAUUAAAUAUUUUUUUUAUUUUGACACCCUGGAUUAACUGUAAACGCUACUGUCGUAAAUAGGCUGUUUAUCUGUUUUUAUUUGAGAAAAAAGAUUUCCAGAUCUAUAUUCAUAUAACUGUUCCCUUGAAAUUUAUCUUAAAGCGUCAAAAAAGGCUUCAGUCUGCUCCCUGAAACAUAAUGUCGAAUAUUCGAAACAUAAUCAUACGUCUCAUGAAGAAUAAACCGUAGACGUGAUGCUUCCAAGUUCAUUAAAUUUGUCUAAAAAAGCAAUUCAAUUUAUCAACCAAAGAAAUCGACCAAAGCAACAUUCUAUCCUUAAAUAAAAGGAAUUCAAUUAUCUAACGGCAUAUAUAAUAAACUAUUUACAAGUCUUGUUAAUGGUGAACAAGUCAUAGAUCUAUCACUCUGUUGUGAUAUCUUAUUUACUCCAAAAUGAAAUCGUAACGCUCAUUAUCUAGUGCAUGUGAACUGGUCAUUUCUUAAUAUUUGUCUUCCCGACUACUUAUAAAACAAUCAUACAUAAAACACAUUUUUAUUCUAUGUUUGUGUACCCUAUAUAUUGAUGUUUAAGGGCCAUCGAAAUAACAAAUCCGGUGAUCUUACAUUCGUACACAUAACAAAUGUGUAUUGUAUGUGCUCCUUAUAUAAUCUAAAAUAUAGGUCGUCACUAUAAUGAUAUUCAAAGAUUAUCAAAAUAUCAUAUCCAGUGAUAUUGAUAUUUAUGAUAUUCAUCAAGCCUUGAAAUCCCUACUAUAUAACAACUGAACAGAUCAAUUUCAGUAUUUAUCAUGGCUGACUAUUAUAUAACAACUAAACAGAUCAAUUUCAGUAUUUAUCAUGACUGACUAUUAUAUAACAACUAAACAGAUCAAUUUCAGUAUUUAUCAUGGCUGACUACUUUAUAGCAAGUGAACAGAUCAAUUUCAGUAUUUAUCAUGGCUGACUACUUUAUAGCAAGUGAACAGAUCAAUUUCAGUAUUUAUCAUGGCUGACUACUUUAUAGCAACUGAACAUAUCAAUUUUAGUAUUUAUCAUGGCUGACUAUGAGUCUUGUUGUUGACAUGUUUUUGUUAAGUUGUUUGUAAAUUUCAACAAAACAUUUGAAACUUGUAUGUUUCAGCGGGACAUAAUCAACUCAUUUGAUCAAAUUUGUUGCAAACCGGCAUGCCGUUUGCUCACAAAAAUAUGUAUAUUAGACUGCAAAAGAUGACAUACAGAACAACUGAUCGUCGAUAUAAAUCAAUGUCUAAAUUUCGACCAAACAUAAGCCUCCUUGUGGCUACUAUGUCAACAAAACAUAAGAAGAAAAAAAGGAGAUUAAACAAAUAAGUUCUCCAUUUCGUUUGGGGAACUCCAUUGUCCUGAGAUCUCAAAAUACUUUAUCUCGCUGCAACAUAAAUACAACAGAGAAUAUUAAAAAAUGUCAUAGCAUUGUAGUUGUAAUGAAAUUAUUAUCAUUUAAGACAUGAAGCUUAAUGUGUUAAAUAUACGUUACAUUUUACGACAGGGUCAUUGACACAAAUGUACAUUCAAUGUAUAAUGAAAUGAUAUACGUACUAUAUAUGUGUACUACCGACUCGUGCAUACUAUUUCUGUUUCUCUAUACAUGGUUUUGUGAAAACAAUAAAUUGAAUUAUAUUUAA